CUUGAACGCUGGCGGCAGGCUUAACACAUGCAAGUCGAGCGGGGUGAUGGUGCUUGCACUAUCACUUAGCGGCGGACGGGUGAGUAAUGCUCUGGAAUCUGCCUAUCAUUCGGGGACAACACCUCGACCGGGAUGCUAUUACCGAACACGUCCUACGGGAAAAAGCAGGGGACCACUUGUGACCCUGCGCGAAUAGAUGAGACGAAGUCGGAUUAGGUGGUUGGUGGGGUCAAGUCCUACCAAGGCGACGAUCUGAGGCGUGGCUGAGAUGAUGGUCCGCCACACUGGGACUGAGACACGGCACAGACUCCUACGGGAGGCAGCAGUGGGGAAUAUUUGACAAUGGGCGGAACCCUGAUCCAGCCAUGCCGCGUGUGUGAAGAAGGCCUUAUGGUUGUAAAGCACUUUAAGCGAGGAGGAGGCUCUUUUGGUUAAUACCCAAGAUGAGUGGACGUUACUCGCAGAAUAAGCACCGGCUAACUCUGUGCCAGCCGCCGCGGUAA
rnacentral:rRNA from 1 species